GGAGGAGUGAAGCACCAUUGAGAAAGCAGCAGAGCUGUCUAUCAUGCCUUGGGGCAAACGAGUCCAAGUGUACUGCUUAUUUCUAUGUGUGAAUGCAAAUAACGGCUGUGUGUCUUCAUGAGAAAAAGGAGCGGAGCAUAAAUCCACCACGGUAAAAUGUGUAUGCAAUGCAUGUUAAUAUGCUGUGAACAUCUGAAACGAGAGGUGGCAGAGGAAUGUUGACUGCAUUAAUUUGCCUUAAGUCUUGUAUGAAACGCCAUACGCCAGGUUUGUUAGGCUUUGGCACAGGAUUGACAGGAGUGUGGGCUUUAUUGCUCCUGUAGUCAAUAAAUCUCCUAUGAUGACAUCUAGAGCUGCGGCUUUUUCCGUGGAAAGGGGACAUUGCCUGACAUAUACUCGCUUUUUGUUUUUUAGCUGUGCGUGAUAAGGUAUGCAGUCAAUAAAUCCUAUAUCAUUCUCACUUUUUGACCACAAUGUCAUAUUCUGGUAUUCAGCUGGCAACGUAAGUGCAGAAAUAGUACAGUGGAUAGGGUAGGUUAGAUCUAUGUGACGACAUAUUUCGUAACCUAUGUCUGAGUUAUGUAACAAAAUCACUGUUUGACCUUCACUUGUGUGAGCAGUUAUCAUGUUGUUGAACAGUGUGAGAGAAACAAAAGUGUGGCUCCCAGUCAUGGGAUUACCUGGUAGUGGCGUCUGUACACGUUUUUUUGGCACAGUGUGUGACAUAGAGUACCGGACAAAAAGGAUGUUGAGUUCAUUCUCUGCUGAGGGUCCAGCUGACACAGAGGAUGUUCCUUCUCCAUCAUGUCGGUACAUAGGGCAGAGAAAACAUAAGCUGUUAUCAGUGUCAGCAAACAUUUCACCCUUUAUGUUAAAUUAAAUACACAAAUUCAUUUUUGCUUUGGGUGUCUGCGGCUGCUGGAAAACUGAGCUAAAUUUGCACCUCUAGCUUGUCCAACAGUGCAUAAAGCGUUUUAUGAAUACUAGGAUGGAUUCAUCAGGCUUCUGUUUACACAUAGUUACUGCAUUUAAGUCAAUUUUGUCUCUGGACAUUGUUAGCAGGAAUUUCUUUAGAUUCUUAAAGAAAUCGGCGACUUUGUCAUUAUUUACCCUCCUUUUGUCCAUAGCGGUAACAUUUGAUGCAUCACGUCGCGGCAUUCUAUCAUGUAUUUUCUACAGGACUUUUUAAGCAGACUACUUUUCUUAUCACAAAUGAUAUUCAACAUUUCUACUGACCUGGUUUCUGGCGAUAAUCGUUCGGGAUAAGGCUCCGAAAAUAAAUUAGAAUGCAUUGAACUUCUUAAGUUGUAAACAAAGUCAGUCACAUAAGCACUCCCGCAUGUUCUGGAUACGUGAUCAUGGACGUCUUCACCGAUUCGCGGACGUAGGUUACACGUAACCGGAAAUGGGAGUUAUACUGAGCCGUUAUUUGAGACUUUAUUUUGUAUUUUAUUAAUUUUUGGUUUUACAGGUACUUUAGAUUUUUUAUCGGACCUGUCUGUGGUCUUUGAAUUAUUCUGACCCAUGUUCAGUGAUUUCCAGAGGGGUUUACACGCUAGGAGGAUUUAUGUUAGUAUUUUCGCUGCGGCACAGCUGAGGUCACUUUAAAUUUAUUGCUAGCAAUUUUUUGUUUGUGUGAGCAACUCUCACUUAGCGAGCAACUUCUCGCUUAACGAGCAACUUCUCGUAAAACAACAGGCAACUUCCUGUGUCUUUCUGCUUUUAAUUUACUGCUUUUAACCCUUGUAUGGUAAUCGGGUCUGUGAGACCCGUUUUCAGUUUUCUUUCGUUUUUUUUUUUUUUUUUUAACAAAAUUAAAUUAAAUUAUUUACUAGCUUUCUGUGAGUGAGCAACUUCUCACUUUUUAACGUACGUUUCAAGAUAACAGGCAACUUCCUGUGUCCACCAACACCACACAAGGGUUAAUUUACUUUAUUCGGGGACUGAGGAAGUCGUCAGUGUAUCUCUCUGGAUCACUAAGUGAAACUUCGUCAGCAUAUCCCGUUUCUUUAUGGAUCAAUCACUGAGAGAGGUAUAAUAGGUCUUUAUAUAAAUAUGAAAGACGCAUAUUUACCUUCUGUCAGGGAUCCCACUUCUGACACCAAAAAUUGAAGGAAAUUGCCUUCCCGGGUUUCCUCCGUGGCGUGAGCGAUAAGCAGAGUUCUGUCCUUUCCUUAUAAGAUUCCUAAUUAUUUAAAGUAACACUCAGGUAUGCCAUUCAGCUGGGUUAGUUACGACGUCGGGAGCAGCUUGGGAGAACAAGGAAACACAGACUGCUUCAGGUUGUCUUCCCAAA
ensembl:lncRNA